UAAGAAUGCGGCUACCGGAGAAAUGCUGAGUAUGCUGAUACCACCUAAAUGGACUGGACAACAGGCUCCAAGAUCAGGGAUUAAUGGCGAGAUCUUCUAUUGAACUCCACUCCAGGAUGCAGAGCAUCAACCCACUGGGGUAAGUAAUAUAUUUUAUGGAACAUUGAAUUUGAAUUCAAUAAUCUAACGAAUAUUUUUCAAUUCUUUGUUUCAUUACAGGUGACGACUAAACCUUCCUGCUUGGAGUAAACUUCAAGAUGCACUGUAUCAAUAACCCAAAGAGGGUAAAGUGGUUAAUGGCGAGAUCUUCUAUUGAACUCCACUCCAGGAUGCAGAGCAUCAACCCACUGGGGUAAGUAAUAUAUUUUAUGGAACAUUGAAUUUGAAUUCAAUAAUCUAACGAAUAUUUUUCAAUUCUUUGUUUCAUUACAGGUGACGACUAAACCUUCCUGCUUGGAGUAAACUUCAAGAUGCACUGUAUCAAUAACCCAAAGAGGGUAAAGUGGUUAAUGGCGAGAUCUUCUAUUGAACUCCACUCCAGGAUGCAGAGCAUCAACCUAUU